UGUGAAGAAGGCCUUCGGGUUGUAAAGCACUUUUGUCCGGAAAGAAAACUUCGUCCCUAAUAUGGAUGGAGGAUGACGGUACCGGAAGAAUAAGCACCGGCUAACUACGUGCCAGCAGCCGCGGUAAUACGUAGGGUGCGAGCGUUAAUCGGAAUUACUGGGCGUAAAGCGUGCGCAGGCGGUCUGUUAAGACCGAUGUGAAAUCCCCGGGCUUAACCUGGGAACUGCAUUGGUGACUGGCAGGCUUUGAGUGUGGCAAAGGGGGGUAGAAUUCCACGUGUAGCAUUGAAAUGCGUAAAGAUGUGGAGGAAUACCGAUGGCGAAGGCAGCCCCCUGGGCCAAUACUGACGCUCAUGCACAAAAGCGUGGGGAGCAAACAGGAUUAAAUACCCUGGUAGUCCACGCCCUAAACGAUGUCAACUAGUUGUUGGGGAUUCAUUUCCUUAGUAACGUACCUAACGCGUGAAGUUGACCGCCUGGGGAGUACGGUCGCAAGAUUAAAACUCAAAGGAAUUGACGGGGACCCGCACAAGCGGUGGAUGAUGUGGAUUAAUUCGAUGCAACGCGAAAAACCUUACCUACCCUUGACAUGGUCGGAACCC
rnacentral:rRNA from 1 species